UACAGAGGUGGCAAGCGUUGUUCGGAAUUACUGGGCGUAAAGGGCGCGUAGGUGGCCUUUUGAGUCAGACGUGAAAUCCCCCGGCUUAACCUGGGAACUGCGUCUGAUACUGGAAGGCUUGAGUUCGGGAGAGGGAUGUGGAAUUCCAGGUGUAGCGGUGAAAUGCGUAGAUAUCUGGAGGAACACCGGUGGCGAAGGCGGCAUCCUGGACCGAAACUGACGCUGAGACGCGAAAGCGUGGGGAGCGAACAGG
rnacentral:rRNA from 1 species